AGAACUAAAAUAUUCUACUCUUUUGAGUUUGUUUGGCAAAUUUCUUGUACUUUUCAUUCAAAAAGUCUCUUCCCUAUCAAAUGGCAUUCAAAAAGUUUUAGUGCUUGCAAAUAGCAUUACUAAUACCCAUAGUGGAAAGAACAAGCGCAACUGCGGCAUAAGUUGCACAGCCUUUAGGUAUUUCCCAGUCGAGCUGGCUACUACUGGAGCACUCUUACUUGUGACAAGGAUGACAUCACAUGCAUUUACGGUGAGAAAACAGAUAGCAGACAAAUGGCAGACAAAAAAAGUAAGCCUACAAAUGGAGCCGGUAAAAAAGCGACAACGAAGUGAAUGAGAAAAUGAGAGAAUGAGUGAACGAGGGAGAAGGCGCAAAGCAAACAAAAUUAAAAUUUGAGAGCUUUUUGAAGAGAGCGCAAAUCUAAACCGUAACCGAUCCGAGCCCCAAAAACCGAAUCGCUGAAAUUCACGAAUCGCACAAAAUUCGUAUCUUAUCAGUGAUUCUGAUGUUGUUCAUCUUUAUCGCUAACUAGGCAAAAACUAAUACGAAAGCGAGUACGAAUACGAAUGAAGCGAAUAACAAAAUCAAAGGCAAACCAAUAACUCAUGGCCAAUAACAAUAGGAAUGGCGACAGAACUUAACGGCUAUUGUUUAAAUAAGGUAUACCAGAUAAAUACAGAU